GUGUCAGCAGCCGCGGUAAGACGGAGGGGGCAAGCGUUGUCCGGACUUACUGGGCGUAAAGCGCGUGUAGGUGGCAGUCUGCGUCGGCGCUGAAAGCGCCAGGCUUAACCUGGCGAGGCGUGCCGAUACGAGACCGCUUGAGGCAGGGAGAGGGUAGCGGAAUUCCGGGUGUAGUGGUGAAAUGCGUAGAGAUCCGGAGGAACGCCUGAGGCGAAAGCGGCUACCUGGCCCUGUUCUGACACUGAGACGCGACAGCGUGGGGAGCGAACCGGAUUAGAUACCCUUGUAGUCC
rnacentral:rRNA from 1 species